AGAGUUUGAUCAUGGCUCAGGAUGAACGCUGGCGGCGUGCUUAACACAUGCAAGUCGAACGAACCUUCGGGUUAGUGGCGGACGGGUGAGUAACGCGUGAGAAUCUGCCCUCAGGAGGGGGAUAACGGUUGGAAACGACCGCUAAUACCCCAUAUGCCUACUGGUGAAAUGAAUUUCGCCUGAGGAUGAGCUCGCGUCUGAUUAGCUAGUUGGUGAGAUAAUGGCUCACCAAGGCUUCGAUCAGUAGCUGGUCUGAGAGGAUGAUCAGCCACACUGGGACUGAGACACGGCCCAGACUCCUACGGGAGGCAGCAGUGGGGAAUUUUCCGCAAUGGGCGAAAGCCUGACGGAGCAACGCCGCGUGAGGGACGAAGGCCUCUGGGCUGUAAACCUCUUUUCUCAAGGAAGAAGAUAUGACGGUACUUGAGGAAUAAGCCACGGCUAAUUCCGUGCCAGCCGCCGCGGU
rnacentral:rRNA from 1 species